rnacentral:rRNA from 1 species
AAACUUAGGUUAAAUAAACCAAUUAAAUUUCAAAUUUAAUAAUGAGAGAAUCAGUUUUUAGUUUUACCGAGAACAAAGUAAUUUUCUUUUUGCAUUAUGAGGUUUUAAAAAUCUUAAAUAUUUUAGAGCUCUAAGAUUUCAUUUUUUAGUUAUUGUCUAUACCCGUUUUAAAGGGUUGAAUAAAAUAACUUAAAGCAGGAUAUCUGAUAUUGAAAUUUUGUAGUUGUGGUUUAUCAAAUUCAUUUUGAAGAAAAGGUUUUCUAAGUAUCAAGGAGGGAUUAGCUUUCUUGAAUUAAAAUCUUAAAAUAAUAUCCCUAGUAGAAUGUAAUAAUUCAAGGCUAAAUAAAAUUUAUGUCUAUCUACCACAUCAAAACUAACUUAAAAAAUUAAAUCUUUAGUAAAAAUUCAGUGAAACCCAAUAUUAGAACAGUUUUAAGUGUUAGAAAAUUUUUAGCAGUCGUGGAACUUGGUUUAGGUUAAUCUGUUUGCCAAAUACUUAGGAGAAUAAUCUCUAAAGCUCUGCCCGGUGAUAAAAAUUAAACGGCUUGACAAGGUAGCAAAAUCAAUUGUUCUUUAAUUGAGAACCAGAAUGAACGGCUUAAUUAACUUAAAAUAUCAGACCUGUUUCGUUUAAAUUAAUAUUCUGAGUGCAAAUACUUAGACUAAAUUCAGGGACGAGAAGACCCUAAAAUCUUAUUUACUUAUUUAGAUUAUUAUAAAAAAUUAAUUGGUUGGGGCAACCUAAUAAAUGUAAAUACUUUUUAUAGUCUAAACUUGAACUCUGCAACUUAUUACCAAGAUACUUUAGGGAUAACAGCAUUAAGGGCCUUGGAGUUCAUAUCUACUGUGCCUGAAUGACCUCGAUGUUGAAUUAAGAAACCUUCUAAGAGAAAAAGCCUAGAAGUUCAGUCUGUUCGACUGGUAUUUUCUUACAUGAUUUGAGUUAAGAUCGACGUAAGUCAGAUUGGUUUCUAUCUUGAAUUUUCUUUGAUUUUGAUUAGUACGAAAGGAAUUUAAAAA